CUCCCGGCAGGCGCUGACUGUGCGAGCCGCAGCGCCCCCUGCAGGCGGAGCCCGGCGCGCCCAGGCCGGAGGCGGGGCGCGGGGCGGCAGCCUCCCAGCCAGCCCUGCGACCUCGGGCCCGGGCUGACCUGCUGUCGCCUCGGGGCGAAAGGGGUAGACCAGGAUAGAUGGCGCUGGGCCCGCUCCCACGUGGGGCGGAGGCAGGAGCGCGGCGGGCCUGGGCCGGGCGGUGCGGUGCGGGGACGGGGUUCCAGAGCUGCGGGGUGACCUCCGGAGACCAAGGCAGCGCCUGGCCGGACUGACCCCGCUCACCCUUCCUCCGAAGAGGAACCCUGGGUUUGGCUUUUUUUUUGUUUAAUCUUGAGGUGUUUUCCCCCUUAAUAUUAAAUCCUAAAGGAAAUAGACAUUCAAGCUCCCUGUCCGUAGGGAAUUAUAAUCCUGGGCAAAAGAAAAAGAAGUAUUUCUCUAUGAUAAACACAGUAUCUCAAUAAGAAUUGAGAACUUUUCCCACUGACUUAAAUCCUGGGAAAGGAAAGGGGGAAAUGGAGUAUAAGGGAAGCUGAAAGGCAAACUUUAUCGUCCUCAUGAUUUUUGCCAAGAGUUGGCUCAUCCUGUUGAUGUUCAGAAGAGAAGCUGUAACACCCAAAGCAAGAACUCAGCGUGGUUUGUCUACGCUUAUGAAAUCGUUGAAUCUCUGGCCUGUCCCAGCAUGUUAACUGGAUUGGGCUGUUGGAAGUUCUGUGAUGUGGCUGCUUAUGACAAUAACCCAGGCUGGUUAAAGAAGGCUAGGAGGCAAUAAGAUCUUCCUUCUGUUAAUACAGUCACUACAGCUGUUACAGAAAGGCAUGAUCAAUAAAAGAGGGGAAGUCAAGUCCUGCUUUGAAAACUGGAGUUCCAUAAAGAAUAAAGUAUAAGAGCUGAAAAAGAAAUCAGAGCUACAUUAAUUCAGGAGCACACGCUGGUACGCGGGCCUCUCACUGCUGUGGCCUCUCCCAUUGCGGAGCACAGGCUCCAGACGCGCAGGCUCAGUGGCCAUGGCUCACGGGCCCAGCCCCUCCGUGGCAUGUGGGAUCCUCCCAGACCUGGGCACGAACCCGUGUCCCCUGCAUCGGCAGGCGGACUCUCAACCACUGCGCCACCAGGGAAGCGCGCAGCAGUAUCUUUUAAAGCUGAACACUUGCAAAGCAUAGGAACCAGCCAUCUCCUAGAUACCUGUGCAACAGAAAUGUACAGAAAUUCACCUAAAGACUCGGGGAAGUAUAUAAUAGAAACUAUACCUGUAAUAGCCAAAAAACUGGAUCCAACCUAAAUAUGCAUCAGUUGGAAAGUGGAUAAAUAAAUUGUGUUACAUUCAAGCAAAGAAAUACAUACGGUAACAGGAAUAAAUAUGGAUACCACGUGUAACAAUAUGAAUGAAUCUGACAAACAUAGCAUUGAGCGAAGCAGUCGGCGGAAAGACAAGUCUGUACUGUUUGAUUCCAUUUAUAGAAAGUUGAAAAGAAGCAAGUCAGUCUAAACUACUAGGUUGCAGUUCUCUCCUGGGGAACGGCAGAGGGAAUUGUGGCUGUUUCUUAAUCGGGGCACAGGUACCCAGCUGUGUUCACUUUGUGAGCAUUUAUGGAGAUGUACACUUAUGAUUUGUGCAGUUUUCUAUCUUUGGAUGCAUGUUAACCUUCCAUAAGAAAUUUACCCUUGUCCUCAGGUAAGUAUAGGCCCCAUGGAAGCUUGGGAACUCAAGCCCUAAGGGAAGAACUUUAGGAAGGAAGGGUGAUGGAGAGCUUCAAACAGAAAGAAAACUGAGGAGAGUGCUGUGGUCAGUGCAUCCAGUCUGUCAUUACUUAGGGGAAUAAAUUAGCAUUUGGAUAAAGCCUGAAGUCAUCAUAAAUAAUAAUAUAGACUCACCAUUAAUAUUGAAAAAAGCUGAGGAGAUCUAAGCUUGAGUCAGAAUAGACACAGAUAUAGGUUUCAAAUGAAUAAGACCAGAGGCAGGGACAGGAUGAGAUGCCAGGGUUCAAAAAGCCGACUGUCAAGGUAUGAACAGAGUAUCACACAGUAGCUUGGAAUGGCCAGCCGAACCCUGAGUGUGCUUAAAGUUCUCUUGCCCAUGCUUGAGGCCUAGCCAACGUUUUACAGUUUAUGCAGAAGACUGAGAAAGAGAACGACAUGACUUACCAUUUUAUUUAUAAAUCAGUUAUCACAUGGUCAUACCCUAUACUUGCAAAUCAAAUUUUCCCGUUUUUCAAACUGUGCUCUGACUUCCACAUGUAAAGCAUGAUGUAGCAAGUAUACCAGCUUUUAUCUGCUCAUUUCAUUCUUGGUUUCUUAUUGAUGCAGGGUUAUAGUUAAGACUGGCAAAGUCCCCAAAUAACAUUCUUACUGGUUUGUGGAUCCUAGGUAAAGUGAAGCAAUAAUAAAAGCUAGCAAUUAUUGAGUGCUUGUUGUAUAUGAGGCACUGUCCUCAGCAAUUUGCAUAUAUAUUGUCUUAAUUCUCACAGCUAUCCUGAAACUUAAGAGGAAAAGGUGCAGAGUGAGGAGGGGCAGAGCCAGGGCUCAAGGCCAGGUUAGUGUGACUUCAGACUGUAUGCGGUUUUAUUGUGUCAACUAUAUUUAACCAUCAGACAUAAAGAUGCUUUGAAAUCUCAGUGAAUGUACCUGCAAGUCUUCCUUAGCUCAGCUCCUACCAAAAAGAGGUCAUCCUCACCACCGCCCCGCACAUCCACAGAAAGCACUCAGAAGGGAAGGGAGGCAGUGGGAGAUCUUUCUCAGGGAAGCCUGGGCCAUCAGGUAAUGUUGGCAAAGACAUCAGCACAAUACAGCUCCUGUACACGCGAACGGAGCCCCUUAGAGUAACCCUCCCUCUCUCUGUGCUGCCAGCCUUCAACUCUCCCCACUCCCACAUUCAGUGUCCGUUUCCCUUUGAUCAUUCUCCAGUGCGAGCUGUAUUCUCUUCUUUUCUUUCCCCGGUAGUCUAUGACAAAUAGAGCCUGAUGUUCUUCUCUUUGGGGGAGAACAAAGAGUGGUGGACCUUUAAAUACACCGUUUCUUCAUCUCUGUGGGGACAGGAUCAAUACAGAGAUCAUAAACCUACAUACCUACAGAAAGGACAUUUAUUUAAAUGACCGAAAGUGGUGGUGGUAAGGCCUUAUUGUCUAGAUUUUUUAUAGAGAAAAAUAGGGAUAAAGUGUGUGUGUGUGUGUGUGUGUGUGUGUGUGUGUGUGUAUGUAGGGGUGUGGAUUUGAAGGCCAAAAAUUCACUGAUUCCAAGGAGAAGGGCUGAAAGCCGCAUUUAUAGGCCAUUUUUCAUUAGAUUGAGAAAGUGAAACAUGCAGGGUGUGAAGGAUGAUGGUGGGGGACUGAUGGGCAAAGUAGCCAAAGGGAGAAAUUAAGCCUCCCCAGGGGGCGGCGUCUACUUCGCCCCAGCUGAUGGUUGCCAGUUGGCAAUGAGAACGGUUGCCAGAUCUUCUGAGUUUUCAGAAGAUGGAAAUCCAGAUUUUUUUUUUUAAAUGGGAAAUCUCCUAUUUUUAAAACGCUGUGUGAGCCAAACAAAACACGAUUGUGGGCUGAAUUCAGUCUGUGGCCUACCAUUUUGAGACCUUUGAUUUAUAGUCUUCCCAAAACACGACAUUUCUGUUCCAAUUUGUCAUCUCAAGGCUUGUUCCUUUCAGACUCAGUUCAUUUUCCGUACUCUGCCCUCCUCCUUCAUUCCUUUAUUAUUUACACACAUGUCUGACUCCCCCUCAAGACGAUAUUCUGUUGAUAGCACGACUUGCAUCUUUUCCAGUUUUGUAUCUUCUCCAUGGUUUUCUAUAGUGCUUUAAAUAGUGCAACACUCAGUGCUGGUUUAACAAGUGUUUGUUAAAGAAUGCAUGCUCAAAGCUAGUCCAGGGAAACUUGAAGCUGUACACGGGGUCCCUUUGCUGAAACACGAUUUGCCUAAAAAACAAGUAUCUGAAAGCCAUUUUGGGAUUUCCACUGUCAGUGAUAGUCGACUGUAAUUCAGCCCAAGUUUCUUGUAAAAUCAACUAAAACAUGUGGACAAAAUAUAGAAAACAUCUUAUUAAGAACAUCAAAGACCUAAUAAGAGAGUGAGGAAUUGCUUUGAGAGAACAGGGAGAGUGUAACAGCACACAGUGGUGAACGGAUACAUCUUUUACCCUGAGGGCAUUUGCCGUGAAUAGGAGGGGACAGCAAUGAGGAGGAACAGGUCAAUAAGUGGGUUAGGAUUGGAGAAAAGAUGGAGACCUUGGCUUCACCCACUGCCCCUUGGCAGGGACUCUCCCCAUGUCCUACCUCCCCUGCACCCAACAUUAGCUACGUGACCUUUCUGGGGAAACAGCUGAGCAGUGCUUUAGGCUUUAGAGAGACAAGAGUAGUAACUCAGAAACAUCUGGUCAGAAACCCCAUGAGACACACACACCCCUUGCCCUGGGAGAGGUUGGUGACUUGACUUUCUAACGCUUGUAACUUCCUUUCCUUGAACACGCUCGGAUAAGGCUAAUCUUAAGUGAAAUGGUUCUUGAAUUUGUGGUUAAUGGAACUGUUAAAGCUCUACAAAGUUGGACUUGCCUGGUGGUCCAGUGAGUAAGUCUCUGUGCUCCCAAUGCAGGCUGUCUGGGCUCCAUCCCUGGUCGGGGAACUAGAUCCUGCAUGCAUGCCACAACUAAGAGUUUGCAUGCUGCGGCUAAGAGUCCACAGGCCUCAACGAAGAGUCCACAUGCUGCAACUAAGACCUGGCACAGCCAGAAUAAACAGAGAAUAAAUUAAAAAAAAAAAAAAAGAAAGCUCUACAAAGUGUGCUGAACAUUAGCCUGAGGCAGUACUCUUCUUAUCCUCCGGGCCUCACCUUUUGAGAGCCCCUGUUUAUAUCCUUCUCUAGCUAGUCCCCUCCCCACAGAGUGAAGGUCCACCAGGGCAAGGGCAUGUACCACCUAGUGCUGCCAAUGUACUCUCUCCCCGAGCCCCCGAGCCCCCUUCCUCCAACCAUGCUCAGGAUACUGAACAGUGGAAUUCCCUACCAAAUGAUGCCAAAGCCCAUUUCCCAGGCCUCCAGAAGCUGCUUCUUCGGACCCCUUCUCCAAAGGGCCUAUCUUGCCAUUGGGGUGUGCAUUUCCAGACCCCAGAGAGGGGCCAACGGGUAGGUUGUGUGUACGUGUGUGUGGACAGACUUUGACUGUGAGGUUGGGUCCCCAACAAGACCUUGUGGUGCUCGAUUGUAGGACUCAAAGCAGGUUGCUGAUCACUAGGGUCACUGAAUAUUCUGUAGUCUUGAAUAGUUCCCUGACUAAGGGGCAGGGUUUAGAUGCGCCACAUUGAAAGGUGCAUAUAAUUAUCAAAAUGUGGGGCUUGAGUUUUUUAGCCAUUUGAAUCAGAUUUACUUUUGUAAGUGAUACUUUUCCAACUGUUGUCUAGAUAGGUUUUGUAUUCAUUAUAUUCUAGCCUGUAAUUUGUAUAAUUUCACCAUCUGUUGUCAUUAAAAAAGUAUUCGUAAGGUGAUAAAAAAAGUUUACUGAAAAGAAACAAUCAAUCAUUCUAGGAACUUCAUGAAGCUGAGGUUGUGUAAGGUUCCCUGAAUUGUAUUUGUUGUUAUGAUAACAUGAGAUAGCCAAUUCGUUGACAAAACUGUACUUCACAUCAGUCUUGUUGUAAGACCUGGAGUCCCCAAUCAGAGAAAGUUCCUAUUCAGGUGUGAGAUGUGUAAUAGAUGCCUAUAUAAUGGGUGGCCUGGAAAACUUAAUACAUGAGGUGAUUAAAAUAUCCAGCCCACCUGGAUCUUUGCCCAAAGCCCACUGCCAGACCCCCUCCUGAUGCCACACUCUAUCCACUUGCAACGAUUUUCAUCGAAUACUAACUUCUAGGAAUUUACUUAAAUACAUGUCUUAGAUCCAAACAUAUUAGUGACAAGAGUAAGAGCAUGUCCAUCAUGUUAGCAAUGAGCUAAAUAUCCCUUGUUCAUUAUAGUAAAUGACAUCUCAAAAAGUGACACCUCAGAUAUUCUUUGCAAUGUCAACAUGCUUGAGGAAAACUUGUUAUUGCUUUUCACAAACAAGCACUUUCGCUUUUAAUAAUAAUUAUUACAGAUGUUGAAAUAACAUGUCAAACACCUCAUGUUGGGAGAUCUGAACAAAAUCUGUUAAAAAAAUUUUUUUCUCCUAAAAAGCUAUAAACUCUAACUGUAAUAGUAUAUUUCAAUUUUUAUACAUGUCUGUGGUAGAUAUGUUGUAUGAAUGAGAUGCUAUACCCUGAUGAUUUUAAUGUUCUCGUUUUGUUGAAUACUUGGUUUAAUGGAAAGAGGUUAAUAAUCAAGUUUUUUUUCUAUUUUUAAAAGUUGAGGUAAAAUUCACAUAACAUACAAUUAACCAUUUUAAAGUAUACAAUUAAGUGUCAUUUCGUGUAUUCACAAUGUUGUGCAAUGACCACCUCUCUCCAGUUUCCAAACUUUUUCAUCACCCUGGAGAAAAACCCCUCUGCCCAUUAGUAAUCACUGCCCAUCUUCCCUCCCCCCGCAUCUCCUGGUAACUACUAAUCUGCUUUUGUUCUCUAUGGAGUUGCCUUUUCUGGAUAUAUCAUAUAAAAGGAGUCAUGCAAUAUGUGACCUUUUGUGUUUGGCUUUUUUCACUUACCGUGAUGUUUUUGAGGUUCAUCCAAGUUGUAGCAUUUAUCACUACUUGGUUCCUUUUCAUGGCUGAAUAAUAUUCUACUGUAUAUAUCAUGAUUUGUCCAUCAGCUAAUGAGUCUUUGAGUUGUUUCUCCUUUUUGACUAUUAUAAAUAUGCAGUAAACAUUCAUGUAUAAGUUUCUGUGUGGAUAUAUGUUUUCAUUUUCCUUCAGUAUAUACCUAGGAGUGGAAUUAUUGUGUUGUAUGAUAAUUCUAUAUUUAACUUUUUGAGAAACUGCCAAAACAUAGCCAAGUUUUAUAUACUCUGAUUACCUUUGAAUUUUAAACAAUAUAUUGCGUCUUAUUUAUUUAUGGCUGUGUCGGGUCUUUGUUGCCGUGUGCGGGCUUCUCUCUAGUUGUGGUGUGUGGGCUUCUCUCUAGUUGUAGCGUGUGGGUUUUUUCUCUCCGUAGUUGUGGUGUGCGGGCUCCAGAGCACGUGGGCUCUGUAGUUUGUGGCACGCGGGCUCUCUCGAGGCACGCGAGCUCAGUAGUUGUGGCGUGUGGGCUUAGUUGCCCCGUGGCAUGUGGGAUCUUAGUUCCCCGACCAGGGAGGGAACCCACGUCCCCUGCAUUGUAAGGUGGAUUCUUUACCACUGGACCACCAGGGAAGUCCCUAUAUUGCAUCUUUUUUAAUAGCUUUAUUGAGAUAUAGUUCACAUAUCAUAAAGUUCACCCACUUAAAGCAUACUAUUCAGUGAUUUUUAGUAUAUUCACAGGGUUGUGCAACCAUAACUACAAUUUUAGAACAUUUUUAUCACCCUCAAAACAAACUUUGUACCCUUUAGCAGUCAUCUCCCAUCCCCUCCAUUACCCCCAAGCCUAGGCAAUCACUAAUCCACUCUAUAUACAGAUUUGCCUAUUUUGGAUAUGUUGUAAGAAUGGAAUCAUACAAUAUGUGGUCUUUAGUGACUGGCUUCUUUCACUUAGCAUAAUGUUUUUAAGGUUCAUCCACAUUGUAGCACGUAUCAAGUACUUCAUUCCUUUUAUAGCUGAAUAAUAGUCCACUGUAUGGAUAUACCAUAUGUUGUUUAUUCAUCAAUCAGUUGAUAGGGAUUUGUGUUGUUUCCACUUAUUGGCCAUUCUGAAUAAUGCUGCUAUAAACAUAUGUGUACAAGUUUUUGGGUAGAUGUAUGUUUUCAGUUCCUUUGCAGAUAUACCUAGGAAUGGAAUCCCUGGGUUAUAUGGUAACUCUAUGUUUAACUUUUUAAAGAACUGCCAGAAUCUUCCAAAGUCUGUACUGUUUUGCAUUUCCAUUAGCAGUGAAUGAAGGUUCCAAUUUCUCCACAUCUUUUUUUUUUUGAUGUGGACGAUUUUUAAAGUCUUUAUUGAAUUUGUUACAAUAUUGCUUCUGUUUUGGUUUUGGUUUUGGUUUUUUGGCCGCAAGGCAUGUGGGAUCUUAGCUCCCCACCCAGGGAUCGAACCUGCACCCCCUGCGUUGGAAGGUGAAGUCUUAACCACUGAACCACCAGGGAAGUUCCUCUCCACAUCUUUAAUAACACUUGUUAUUAUCAGUCUUUUUAUUACAGCCAUCCUAGUGAGUGUGAAGUGAUAUCUUGUUACAGUUUUGAUUCAUGCUUCCCUGAUGGUUAAUGAUGUUGUGUAUUUUUUCAUGUACUUAUUGGCCACUUGUGUAUCUUCUUUGGAAAAAUGUCUAUUCAGAUCCUUUGCCCAUUUAAAAAUUGGGCUGUCUUUUUAUCAUUGCCGUGUAAGAGUUCUUUGUAUUUUCUAAAUGCAAGUCCCUCAUCAAAUAUACGAUUUUCAAAUAUUUUUUACCAUUUUGUGGUUUGUUUUCACAUUCUUGAUCUUUGAAACACAAAAGUUUUAAAUUUUGAUGAAGCCCAAUUUACCUAUUUUUUCUUUUGUUGCUUGUGCAGUUGAUGUUGUAUCUAAGAAAUCAUUGUCCAAACCAGUCAUGAAGAUUUACCCCUACGGUCCUUCUAAAGACUUCAUAGAUUUAAGGCUUUAAUUAUUUUAGGUUAAUAAUAUAAUGUGAAGCAGGGUCCAAUUUUAUUCUUUUGCAUGUGGAUAUCCAAUUGUUUAAGUGAUACUAUAUAUUAUUUUUUCUAAAACUAUAAACGUUUUCCAUGCUAAUACUUUCUUUCUUUUUGGCCAUAUUUCCACAUUUAUGCCAGUGUUACCAUCCCUCUUCCAUAAACUGAAAACCUGGAGUUACUCAUCUUCUUUCCUUGAAUAUUUUAUCCCUGGGCUCACCACUCUGUAUCACUACUCUUUUGAAAUUUUUCUAAUUAUUUCAGUGUCCAUGUAGAUGAUCAUUCCAAAAACCAGGUGUCUCCGUUUUUUUUUUCAACCUAAUUAUUUUGUUGUACAGCUUACCUCAGCCACUUGCCUCCAAGGUCAUAUUCUAGAUCAGUAGUCCUCAAUUAGAAUUAGAAUUAGCUCUCAAUUAGAACUGGCUGGGGAGCUUUUAAGCAAUACCAAUGACAGUCCUCCUCCAGCAUAAUUACAUCAAAAUCUCCUGGGAUAUUACCUGAGCAUCAUUAUUUCUAAUGUGACACCAGGAUUGAGAAACAUUGCCCCAGACAUUGCCAUCACCAAUAACUUUAAUACUUUCCUUGUGGAAAUAUCAAGUAUUCCACUCUUCACUUGCCACCUGCUAAUUUUCCCUCUCACUGUUUUGAAUAGACCAAUUCCAAUAAAUCUACUGGGAUCUACAGUCCAUUCAUCUUAACAUCGUUUCAUUGGCUCUCAUACCUCUAGUGUCUAUACUUUCCUUAUGUGGUAGUCUGUUAUACUGAUGGCCCCCAAGUGAAUCAUGCCUCCAGUAUUUGUGCCUUUGUGUAGCGCCCCACACCUUGUCCCCUGCUCGAAAUAGGGUUGGCUAUGUGACUUGCUUUAACCACUAACAUGUGGUGGAAAUGACACCACUCUUUGAGAAGAAGCCCAGCUACCCUGCUGGAGAGACCAUGUGAAAAGACCAUACCAAGAGACUACGUGGAAAGGGAGAGGCCCUGAGGGAACACGUAGUAGAGCCAUGAAAUUCAAAUGACAGUGAGAAUCAAGGCUCCAGACAGUCCAGGUGAUUUCAGUGUGCAAGGUUGAGAACCACUGAUUUGUAUGCUGAUGGCUCCCAAAUAUAUAUCUCUAUUGUCCAAUACAACUUUCUAUGAAGGUCUAGAAGGUGCUUUAUGAUCGACCCUCCACCCUGUCGUCCCUCUAACAGCAUCCCUCCUUGCUUCCCCUUGCUUACCUAAUUCCUACUGCAGUGACCUCCUUGCUUUUCCUCACACAGCCUGGGUAUAUACCCUCUUUAGGGCCUUAGCCUGUUCCCACAUUUUCUGCAGUACUCUCCCCCCAGAUAUUUACAUUAUCCACAUGUCUCACUCCAUCAUCAUCUUCUGGUCUUUGCUCAAUGCAAUGUAAUAAAUGCUGUAAUUGAGUAAAUUUUGCUCAUCUUGCUAAAAUGUCAACUAACAUAUAUCUAUGAGAAUAUGGGAAGAUAAGCAAAUAAUAAAAAGUUUUACAGUGCCCACUUUGGUGAGGAUAUGGAAAAAGGGAAACAGUUAUGUGUUGGCGGUGGGUGUUUAAAUUGAUACAGUAGCUUUGGAGAGUAAUUUGGCAUUAUCUAGCAAAGUUGAUCAUGUAUAUAUAUCCUGUAUGAAGUAGGAAUAUAGCUCUGGUGGUUUUAAAAUAGGUUCACAAAUUCUUUGAUAGGUCUCCCUUUAAUAGGUAGGGCUUAAUUCUCCUCUCCUUGAGUAGGGGCUGGAUUUAGGGAUUCACUUCUAAUGAAUAGAUAUGAUGGAAAGGACAGUGUGUGACUUCCAAGACUAGGUCAUAGGAGGCAUUAAGUUUUCUUCUUUACCCUUUCUCUUAGAUCACUUGCUCUGUGGGGAAGCCAGUUGCCAUGUCAUAAGAACACUCAAGCAGCCCUUUAGAGAGACCCAAGUGGUAAAAAACUGAGGUCUCCUGACAAGAGGCAGGGAAAAAAAAUUUCUUGCCAACAGGCAUGUGAAUAAGCCAUCUUGGAAGAAGAUUCUCCUGCCCCAGUCAGGCUUCAGGUGAUCACAGCCCCAGCUGAUGUCUUGACCACAACUUCAUGCAAGAGCCACCCAGCUAAGUCAUUCCCAAAUUCCUGUUCCACAGAGACUGUGAAAUAAUAAAAUAGUGUUUGCAAAUAUCUUUUCCCAUUAUGCAUCUUGUCUUUUCACUCAUUUUAAGUUGUGUUUUCUUUUUUAAUAAACUGAAGUUCUUAGCAAUGUA